UACGUAGGGUGCAAGCGUUGUCCGGAAUUAUUGGGCGUAAAGAGCUCGUAGGCGGUCUGUCGCGUCUGCUGUGAAAUCUCGGGGCUUAACCCCGGGCCUGCAGUGGGUACGGGCAGACUGGAGUGCGGUAGGGGAGAAUGGAAUUCCUGGUGUAGCGGUGGAAUGCGCAGAUAUCAGGAGGAACACCGGUGGCGAAGGCGGCUUUCUGGGCCUUACCUGACGCUGAGGAGCGAAAGCUGGGGGAGCGAACAGG
rnacentral:rRNA from 1 species